AUUGGAGGGCCUCCAAAAGCAUCACUGUCGCUCAUCCGGAAGUGUAGUAUUUCUGUGUUUUAAUUUUGUUUGCAUGAAAGCCAUACGUUUUGCCCAAAACGUAAUGGUCCAUUGUAAGGGCCACCUCAUGUGUUUCAUUUUGCAACAUUUUGCAUCAGUAAUAAAUGGAUGUUUUUUGUGAUUAAAAGCGGUGUUCCCUGUUUUUCAUUUUUU
rnacentral:lncRNA from 1 species